rnacentral:rRNA from 1 species
UACGUAGGGUGCGAGCGUUAAUCGGAAUUACUGGGCGUAAAGCGUGCGCAGGCGGCGCCGCAAGUCAGGUGUGAAAUCCCCGAGCUUAACUUGGGAAUGGCGCUUGAAACUACGGUGCUGGAGUGUGGCAGAGGGAGGUGGAAUUCCACGUGUAGCGGUGAAAUGCGUAGAGAUGUGGAGGAACACCGAUGGCGAAGGCAGCCUCCUGGGCCAACACUGACGCUCAUGCACGAAAGCGUGGGGAGCAAACAGG